rnacentral:misc_RNA from 1 species
GGCGUCCUUUGUGCCAAAGCAUCAAUGCUACUCCAGAAUGUCCCCCCUGCCGUACUGGUUCGGUUUCUGAGGGAGCACCGUUCAGAGUGGGCAGACUUUAAUGUUGAUGCUUUUGUAGCUUCUGCAUUGAAGUCUUGUCCGUAUACAUAUCCUGGGAUGAGGCCUACCAGAUUUACCGGUAGCCAGAUAAUAAUGCCACUUGGCCACACAAUUGAGCAUGAAGAAAUGCUUGAAGUUAUUAGACUUGAAGGGCACUCUAUUGGACAGGAAGAUGCUUUUAUGCCAAGAGAUAUUCACCUUUUACAGAUGUGUAGUGGCACUGAUGAGAAUGCAGUUGGAGCCUGUUCUGAACUAGUUUUUGCCCCUAUUGAUGAGAUGUUUCCAGAUGAUGCACCUUUGCUUCCCUCCGGAUUUCGCAUUAUUCCUCUCGAAUCAAAAUCAGGUGAUGCCCAGGAUACGUUGAACGCACAUAGAACAUUAGAUCUAGCAUCAAGUCUUGAAGUGGGCCCAGCAACAAACUCGACUACUGGAGAUGCAGCUUCUUGUUACAGUGCACGAUCUGUACUGACAAUCGCUUUCCAAUUUCCAUUUGAGGACAAUCUUCAGGACAAUGUGGCUACCAUGGCCCGACAGUAUGUUCGCAGUGUGGUUUCGUCUGUCCAACGAGUUGCCAUGGCAAUAUCUCCUACGGGAAUGAAUCCUACACUGGGGGCCAAGCUUUCUCCAGGCUCACCAGAAGCUGUAACAUUGUCGCAUUGGAUCUGCCAGAGCUAUAGUUAUCACAUGGGAACAGAGUUACUUCGAGCUGAUUCUAGUGGCGAUGAAUCAGUACUAAAGAAUCUCUGGCAACACCAGGAUGCAAUUUUGUGCUGCUCAUUGAAGUCGCUGCCAGUUUUCAUUUUUGCUAAUAAGGCCGGACUCGACAUGCUGGAGACAACAUUAGUUGCAUUACAGGACAUUUCUCUAGAUAAGAUAUUUGAUGAAUCCGGAAGGAAAGUGUUGCUCUCAGAAUUUGCCAAGAUUAUGGAACAGGGUUUCGCGUGUUUGCCUGGUGGUAUCUGCAUGUCAACAAUGGGACGACAUAUUUCAUAUGAACAAGCUAUCGCGUGGAAAGUGUUUGCGUCGUCUGAAGAAAAUGCUGUCCACUGUUUGGCCUUUUCGUUUAUCAACUGGUCAUUCGUGUAAUGCUAUCAUAUUUUUUUUUUCUUUUUCGACCUUUCUCACAGAAUACUGAUAGCCAGGAACACAGUUGAAUGAGGGGACAAACGAAAUUUUUUGUAAUAUGUAAAAUUCCCAGUUUCUUCUGCAUUAAUUUAAUUAGACUGGAAGGUGUAUUUCAUUUCUUGAUUUCUUGAUACUCUUG